UAGGGAAUCUUCGGCAAUGGACGAAAGUCUGACCGAGCAACGCCGCGCGAGUGAAGAAGGUUUUCGGAUCGUAAAACUCUGUUGUUAGAGAAGAACAAGGACGUUAGUAACUGAACGUCCCCUGACGGUAUCUAACCAGAAAGCCACGGCUAACUACGUGCCAGCAGCCGCGGUAAUACGUAGGUGGCAAGCGUUGUCCGGAUUUAUUGGGCGUAAAGCGAGCGCAGGCGGUUUCUUAAGUCUGAUGUGAAAGCCCCCGGCUCAAACGGGGAGGGGCAUUGGAAACUGGGAGACUUGAGUGCAGAAGAGGAGAGUGGAAUUCCAUGUGUAGCGGUGAAAUGCGUAGAUAUAUGGAGGAACACCAGUGGCGAAGGCGGCUCUCUGGUCUGUAACUGACGCUGAGGCUCGAAAGCGUGGGGAGCAAACAGG
rnacentral:rRNA from 1 species